GUCGCUUCUCGGCCUUUUGGCUAAGAUCAAGUGUAGUAUCUGUUCUUAUCAGUUCAAUGCCGGUGGAGAAACACGCUGGUGUGGGGCUGGUUGGGAUGGGUGCUGCAUGGAGGGGGCAGGUGUACUGGGGCUGGUGCCACGUAACCAGCUCAACGGCUGCCCUGAUGUGACCUGUUUCCUCCGGGUCUCGCCAUGAGGUU